GAUGAACGCUGGCGGCGUGCCUAAUACAUGCAAGUCGAGCGAACGGACGAGACGCUUGCUUCUCUGAUGUUAGCGGCGGACGGGUGAGUAACACGUGGAUAACCUACCUAUAAGACUGGGAUAACUUCGGGAAACCGGAGCUAAUACCGGAUAAUAUUUUGAACCGCAUGGUUCAAAAGUGAAAGACGGUCUUGCUGUCACUUAUAGAUGGAUCCGCGCUGCAUUAGCUAGUUGGUAAGGUAACGGCUUACCAAGGCAACGAUGCAUAGCCGACCUGGGAGGGGGAUCGGCCACACUGGAACUGAGACACGGUCCAGACUCCUACGGGAGGCAGCAGUAGGGAAUCUUCCGCAAUGGGCGAAAGCCUGACGGAGCAACGCCGCGUGAGUGAUGAAGGUCUUCGGAUCGUAAAACUCUGUUAUUAGGGAAGAACAUAUGUGUAAGUAACUGUGCACAUCUUGACGGUACCUAAUCAGAAAGCCACGGCUAACUACGUG
rnacentral:rRNA from 1 species